CUCCCAAUUUUGCUGGAAAGCAAAAUUUGACCUCACAAGAGGCUUAAACAUGAGCAAUUGUUGGACAAGGAAUUUUGAGUCAGAACUUUUGAAACUUUGUUUUAUAACUUUGUUAUAUCCUCUAACCUCCUCCUGACAAAGACUUGGGAGAAUUUUUCCAGAUGGAAGAUUGAGCACUCUAACUCUUAUUUUAGGGUUUAAGAUGUUCUCUCCUCAAUCUUCCAGCAAAACCAAGGAAGUUGAAACUUAAUGUUCUUGAUAUCUCUAAGGAAGCAGGAGCAAACAGUAUUUUUUUUUAAAUGCACUUGCUUUCAGUUCCCUUUCAGGUUUCUAUUAAUCUGAGUUGCUUUGUCACGUGGAAUAGAAUGAUUCCACUUAGAUUCAGUGUAGCUGUUGUAUUUGCUAUUUAUGUGGUGGAGAGGGAGUUUCCUGAUGGAAUACAGAAGUGCUGACCUGAAGAUUUCCAAUUUGUCCAUGCCAAUGGGUUAUCUCAGCUCUGAUUUGACCAGCGCAAAACUUUACUUUUCAUGCAAGUUUCAAUGCUGCUUUUCCUUUCUUCCUCCUUCUACCCCAACAAGCCAUAUGAUUUUUAGGAAUUUAUUCUACCCUUCUUCUUUGGACAGAGCUUCCAUGAUGUCAGUAAAAAUACACACACAAACUCAUUGGAAGAGGAAUGUUUGUCAAAACUCUUGCUUCAACCAUUUUCUAAGGUGUGCUUUUAUCAGCAGGUGCAGUUUGCCCCACUUAAAUUCUUGCCAUCUGAAAUGGCCAUGAGCAGGAGAUUCUGCUCAAAACAGUGGCAAUGUUUUCUUUAUGAAAUACAGAAUUUAUACUUGACUCUAUUGCAUAGGUUGCGUAGAGAAGUGAAUUGCUCACUUCUGAAGUCCGUUUUGUCAUGACAGACAUUAAAGAUAUUUCCCUGUUGGAAUGGAGGGCCCUUCCCCAGCUGUACUUUAGUUGUAAAUUUGUCUGUUUUUUGUGGUUGUGCUCUGAAAUUGGAACUGAGCUUUUGAAUUUUGUUCCAGUAAUUUCUCAGGCCACUGUACAGUGUUGUAUAGACUACAAGCUCUCUUACCUUCAUAAUGGGUAUGUCAGAGUCACCGACUGGAUACAUUGUAAACUGACUUAAUGAAAGACAUUGCUAGUUAACUGAAGAUUUUGCUCUGGUAAGCAACUAUAGCAUAUUUGCGUUUUCAGGAGGCUGGACUUGAUUGGCUAGUAUGUGUUUCUUGGCUCUGGGAUUGAUUAGUUUUCUUUCCUUAACACUUGUUGCUUACCUGUUUUUACUACUUGUUCAUUUCCUUGUGUUAGCUUCUAAUUAACUUGUUGGUAUGAGACUUUCCCCUGGAGUUUGCUUUGACAAAGGUUUUUCGAGGAUAAGAUUGAGUUGACUUUGGCAGAGUGUCAAAUGUAAGUAACCCCUCCCCCCACACACCUGCAGGUAAAUAGCCUCUGUUGUUGAAUCCUGUUUGUUCUUGUUCUCCUCAGAAGCUCUGCCUUUUUUAUCCCUUUGUUAUAUUAGAAAGUGCUUUAAUGGCAAAUAUAAUGGUCACAAGUUCCUAACGGUUAUAAGUAAUCGGGACAUCCAGGUAUGGCCUCAUGCAUAAUAAGGGGUUCUGUUAAAAUAAAGCUGAAAUGUUGAUCAUUGUAUAGUAAAUAACACUCUUCCAGAGAACUUUGCCAAAUUGCUGCACUUGAGGAAGGGGAGGCAGCUCAGUUAUUGAGGGGAUGUUAUAAUGGCCAUCUUAAUUUUAAAAAUUCAACUUAUUUUAGCAAGUGGUGAUUCAUCAUGGAACCUUUCCAGUUGCCUGAGAAACUCUCAUACUCUUUUCUUACCAUUAAGCAGCAAGCUGAUGGUAAAAGGUGAAGUGCAACCACCGGUUCACGUACCUGUUCCCAUAAAAUUAAGUGUACACAAAGUGCUAGAUGGAACUGUAAUAGUUUAUGAAUGCUACAAUUAUUUGUAGUGGUAAUGGACAAGAAGUCUUCCUUCAUUACCCUGAGUAUAAGUAAGAAUGUAACUUGCAAUGUAAAACAUGUUUGUAAAUUUUGUAAUUGAGCAGUAUGAUUGGAAGCUGACUUAAGUUGUGUUAAGGUACAUUUUUGAUGGUCUGUCAGUGUGUAAUCAUGAACUGAAUAUUUUUUAUUGAUUUAGGGUGUAUGUUUAACAUUCCAUUUAUGUAAAAUAUGUACAAAUAUAUGUGUAAUAAAUCUUUUGAAGCACAGUUUGCCAUGAUUCCAGGUGACUUCAGUAUUACUGCAAAGAAAAAUGCUGUAGAUUGGGCAGAGUUGUUGUCUCUGUUCUCUGAGAGACUAUUGAAACACCAGAAAUAAAGAACCAACAGCAACGUGGAGGAACAAUUCCGAGAAAAGCUUGUUGGCUCUGCUGACCAAUGCUGGCUCCCCAUAUGGUCCCUUUGGAUCCUGCACUAUGCAGAAGAUGUAGAACAGGCUUAAUUUGCCAGCUGAAGAUUGAGCUGACACUAUGCCACCUCCAGUGAAAUGUGCAGGGCUAAGGGAAAGACAUGAGGGGAGUGGCAUUACCCUCUGGGAGUAGUACAAGUUGGAGCAGCCCUGAGACCUAUUGUCCAAUCUCUGAAAAAUGGAGGUGUGAAGUGGUGGGAGGUGCUAAAUUGGCAGAAACUCUCUUUUAUGGUGAAGCAUGGUGUGUUAGUACUUCGUUCAAUUUGAACUCUUUGUGAAACAACCACUCUGUUUCUCUUCAAAAUGUAAUGGUUCAUUGAUUUGUCCAUCUCUCAGCUGUGAGUGGAUUUCCUUAUUGCUCCAGAUGGUUGCCAGUGCCCCACAUCUGCCUCUAGGUUAAAUGCUGGUGGGAAAGCUUCCUUGGAGACCUGUUUGUUUCUAAAGGAGCUGAUGGCUAGACAGGGCUGCAGAAGAAGCAGAUGCUGGCAAAGCAGUGUGUAAACGGGCUCUCUGGUGAGGGUAGAGCAAUUUGUACAGGCUUUUGCUAAGCGUGUGCUUUCUCCCCCUCCAUUCUGGACGCAUGGAAAGAGGGCUUUAUUAUGGAAGCAGUUGAUAUUUAGGACAACAAUGUCUGCUCUAGCAACAGGAAUUCGGCUGGAAAUUAUUCCAAUCCACCAGGGUUUCAAGAGUGGAAGGUGCCCAGGCUUACCCAGCCAGGGAGCUCAAACUCAGUCAGCCUAAAACCAAGGAAUUAUUCUAGUGCCUAUAGCUCUGUCUGGAUCCUCAGUCUGCUUGGAGCGUAGAAAUCUGACAUCAGGAAUAGACCUCCUGCUCCAAAUACAUGUUUUAGAAAACGGAACCCUUCCUAGUGGGGGGGCUGAGACUGUCCAGACGCAUGCCUGCUGCCCCGAGGAAGCUAACAGACAGCAGCAGCGCAACGAUCAGCUGAAACAGUCUCAGAGUGCAGCAGGCUGUAGUCCUACCAAAAGCACAUUUUCAUCUACCAUUGGUCUAUUUCUUUUACAUCCCCUACAGUGAUAGGUAACCCACUCUUGUGCUGCUCCUUUCCUCUCAGGGAAUGUGUGUUUUGUUGUUACUGUCUGCAGGUACUUUCCAUGCUACUGUAGCUUCAGUGCCUUAUCUGGAUUAUAAAAGCACUCCUUAAAUGCUUUUGCCUCUGGCUCAAGGUUUUAUGAACAGCAGGGGAUGUUGAGUGUCAAAGUCUAGCUCAGGUAACUGCAGUGAUGAACAUGGGAUAGAAAUGGGCUCUCUGCCUUUAGCAGUCUGUAAAAUUAAUGAGUUGGCACUGGAUGGUGGGGGAUAUGAUGAUGUGUAACAUGGCCAAAGGAUGCACACAGUCACUUUAGGAGUAAUACUAGGAACAGAAUCAAACUGUUGAAGAUCCGUGUCCGUUUCACGCAUGCUAGAGAAGUGGUGUGUACUGGGGCUCGGGGCAAUGCUCUGGGCCUAAUAUACACUGGCUUUUAGAAAGUCCUCGAGGCUUCUCACCCCUGCAUUGUUGUCGUCCUAGCAAUUAUCAGUAUCAAUGAGUGAACCUAUUGGACAUCAUUGCUGCAGUUCGCAACACAUCCUGACCUUCUAUUACGAAUCAACUAUUAAACACUUGUUUAAAAGGAAUUUGUUGAUACUUACGUCAGCCUGUUUGUGGCAUCAGAACAGCUUUUAAAUGUUCUCU